GAAAGUAGUUGAAUAUGAGGUCCAUCAAAGCUAGUUGUUUAUGGCCUCAUCCACGCCUUUUUUCUGUGCCUCAAGGGCUGGGAGUAGUUUGUGCGUCUCUCAGUUAAUGAUAAGAUGUUUCGCAGUGGGUAGGCUAUAUUUCCCCGCAGUGUAUUGGACAGCGCAGCAUUUGGCAACCGAGUUGAGGAGCACACACAAUGAAGGACAAAAACAAAUUUGAACUCAAGAAUGGAAGCUUGGCUAAUGAAAACGGAAACGUGGCCAUUGGAAAUGGAGUGGUCAACCGUGCGUUUGAAAUUGAGGACAUCACAGUCGAUGAGAGCAACACCAAAGAGCAAACGGAGCGGUCUAGAGAGGGACUGGGAUCAUAUCUAAG